UUGGGAGAUAUUCAAGAUAGUUGAUUUAAAGUCCUUAAUAUGACACCCAAUAUGAAAUAUUAAGGCUAGGACCCAACAAACUAUUUUAUAACUUAGAAGAGGUAUGCCGUAAUCCAAGCUAUAAAAUAUUUGAAGGUAGGUGAAUGACGAUUCACCAAUUUCCACCAAGAUAAACGAAAUGUAUUAUUAGGUUUUAAUUGGUUUUGAAACUCCUAGAUCUUUGAGAUUCAUUGAACUGUUCAAAGGCAUGUUUCAAUCUCGAGUGUGCCCUUCAGGUUUUGUGACUGGGAUGCCGAGGAUCACAAAACAAGGUGUGAAGUAACCAUGCAAAUCACUUGGUACCCUUAAUAAAUUACCCCUCAAUCGAUGUGCCGGUUAACCACACACGCUCCAUCGAUACUAUGAUAAAUAUUAAGUCACCCUUUACCUACCUUGUUAAGUCCAAGUUAGUGUGCCGGUUAACCACACACGCUCCACUAACGACUUAGACAAAGUGUAAAGUGUAAUUUCAUGGAUUAGCACCUUAUUCACAUUUUUCCUAAGUAACUAAGAUUGGGUAUUAUUAAGAGUUUAGUUACUUAGUAUUAUCAUUAAUACUUUUAAUGAAGGGAGAAUUCUAGUCCUGUCAAACCCGUUCGGCUAACGACCCUCCACCAGUCAAGCAAGCGGUGGGUGAGAGUGGACACCCAUUAAGUUGCCAUUUUAUAGGCAACAACCUUAUACCCACCUUAUAGACCGGCUUCGUGAAUGAGGCGUACUAGCGGUAAGACUGACUUUACUCUUAUACAUAUAUAUAUUAUUAACUUAUAAUAUUAUAAAGUAUAAGGGUUGAAUUUUAACUUUUAAAAUUCUAAGGGCUAACUUGGAAUUAAAGUAUUCAUAAGUGAAAACUUUACAAAUUCCAAAACUUGAGGGCAAGUUUUGAAACUAUUCAAAACUAAUUAAUUCCAUAACUUAUGUGUUUAAAGUAGUUUUAAUCCAAAAACUCUUCAAGUUCCAUAACUUGAGGACAAGUUAUGGAAGACUUUAAACUAAUAAAAGAAUUAACUUUUCUUUAUUUUAUAACUUAUGGAAUUAAUUAAGGUUACACUUUUUUUUUUUUUAUUUUAUUUUAUUAAAUGAAGAGACUCUUGGUCCUCCAUAACUUGAGGACAAGUUAUGGAGUCAUAAAACCAUUUAAUUAGAACUAGACUCUUCAUUUUUGUAACCUUUGCCAAUUUUUAUGAGUUUUAUGAUUCUUAAAUGUGACUUUUCAUAUAACUUGAGGACAAGUUACAAAAACACAUUUUAGAAUCAAUUCUUAGAUUAAUUUGGAUUAAAACCAACUAUCACAUAAUUUUAUUCAUUAAUCUAAAUUCACUCAUAAAACAAGGUAACACAAAAAACUUUUGGUGAUCCAUAACUUAUUCUUAAGUUAUGGAAUCCUUUAAAACAUUAACACCAAAUUUUGUAACUCCAAAAAAACUUUGAAUCAAUUUUUUUUUUAAAACCUUUUCAUAUCCAUAACUUAUGGAGGUUUCAAAAAAUAAAACUCUUUAGAUCAAACUUUUAAAACUAAUAAAAUAAUCAUAUUAUUUUAUCUUUUAUUAAAUUUGACCUAAUUCAACUCAUAAAGCAAAUUAUUCAAAUUUUACAAAUAAUUAGUUUUUCACAAGAACAAGUAAUUAUCUUAAAAUUUGACAAACUUCAUGUUUUUUUUUUUUUUUUUUUUCAACUUUGAAAAUAAAAUAUUUGCAUCAAUAUAACAGAAAACAACCCGUGGCUCUGAUACCACUGUUGGGUUUUGAGCAUUCUAACACUUCCUAAGUGUACAUGCAACCCUAAAUACCUUGGAUCUAUGUUUUCUCUAUUAUACAUGCAAAUAAGAACUUCCAAGGUAUUAUCCUAAUCUAGCAUACAAAACAAUAACUAUAGCAAGAUAGAAUACAUACCUCUUUGGUGUAGAAAGUCUUCAUGAAGCUUGAGUGCCUAGUGCCCCAAGUGUGACACCUCAAAUGGAAUCACAAUCAUCAAAACACUUAGAAUGACUUGAGAGAAUUCUACACUCAUCAAAAUCGGCUAGCCCUUUCUUCACUAUCUCUAGUGGCCGAUUUUUCCUCAAUAAUAAGAUGCUUAUAUAGUUACACAAUUAGGGUAAACUCUUAAUUGUCAUGGCUUUCCAUUUCCUUGGAUCCAUGGGUACAAAUACACCAUGGAGCAUCCAUGGACCAUCCUAUGGGUUUUAGCCCAACUUGAUUAUCCAUGGAGCAUUAGCCCACUAUACAAGUAUGGAUGAUUUACACAAUCAACCCAUAUAUUUAAUUAGUCUUCUUUUGAUCACUUAAUUAAUCCUAGAUUAAUUCUUGAUCAAUACUAAUUAAAUAAUAUGAUUCCAUAUUAAUAUAUUAGAACUUAUAAUAUAUUAAUAUUAAUCAUAAACAUACUAUUCUCAAAAGAUUAUCCAUAUAAAUUGUAUCGGUGAAGUGCAACCCAAAUGGACCAUGCCGGGUCGGGUCAAGUACAUACCAAAUAUNUAGACAUUAAUCCAACACAUCCUACAUAACAGGAUACCGACCUUAACCAGGUCUCCAACAUAUACCAUCGUAGCUACCAGGAUGCAUCCAUAUCAUAACAAUAAUCAUAACAACAAAUACCCGGGUCUCAAUCCGUUAAAGGCUUGGCCUUGGUACCUUAGACCCUGUUGAUAUAGUGAGGAUAACUCACCUUGCCACUGCCGAAACUAGACAACAUAGCAUAAAUAAUCAUUAGGCUAAGCACAAUAGCCUUCCAAGGAUAAAUUGACCAAUUUACCCUUAACUCAUUACGGCUGAACACUGGAUAAGCUCUCAAGCCCACUAAUGGCCCAAAGUCCAAAAGUCCGAAGAAAAGCCCACUAUUGGCCCAAUUUACUAAAUUGGGACCACCUCACCAAAUGGGCCUAAACCCAUGGUCCAAUAUAAUUAAUGGGUCCACAAUACUCCAUCCAUAAUGUCCAGUCACGGCCCAAAAUCCAUCAGCCCAAUAACAGCCCAAUCCCUAAGGCCCAAAAUGAAAAACCCAACAGAGGGAGUACGCUGGGCGUAACCUCCUUGGUACGCUGGGCGUACACGCUGAUUUGCAACUGGGGAUCGGGGCACUGACCCGCUACGCGGGGCGUACUCCUAAGUUACGCGGGGUGUAACAUCGCUGCUCAUUAAGUCCUCAUAACUUCUUAAUGGCUUAAGCUCUUAAGCCCAAACUUCAGAUCCUUACGCCAAAUAUGCCUAAGAUUCAUAAAGUCUCAAACUUUAUCACUUGGGACGUCCAUAAAGCUCUUAAUCCAAGGUCUUAAUCUAUUAAGACCUACUUAUCUCACACAUGGAGCAACCACAGCCCUUGGGACCUCAUUUUUCUCACUCAAGACCUCUCCAAAGCUCUGAAAGGACAGAUAAUCUCGACCAACUCAAAACAUGCAUCCAGAUGAGGACUUUUGGGACAAGAAUGAUGUGAAAACUUCACAACAUUUAGAUCUAUACAAUAUAAAUGACAAGCAAGAAGCUUUAUACCUCAGAUAGGCUCCAAAGGAUGAUAUCUUUCUAGAUCUAUAAGCUCCAGCCACUCAACUCCUUCUUUGACAACUUCCUCUUUCUUCUUCUAGCCUCUCCUUUACCAAAAUAAGCUUUACAAGCCCAAACACACCCAACAAUGGAGGUGGAACGGCUAUCUAGGGUUUCUAAGGUUAAGGGAGAGCUUAUGGAGCCUAGGGUAUGAACCAACAUGUUCCUUAUAUAGUGGCUGACCCUAAUUUUAGGGUUUUAGAACUCUGAGAGUACACUGGACGUACCUAUAGUAUACUGGGCGUACUCAACCUUGCACCCGCGUCCACUUACUCAAUUACGUUGGGCGUAAUCCCAGCUUACAUUGGGCGUACUCGGCGUGUCCCAACUUUUAUAUUUGGCCCUCCUUUUCCACUUUUCCCACAAAAGGACAAAAAUACCCUUCCUUUUAAAACCUGGGGAAUCACAAUUAAGUACUCUUAGGAACAGGGCGUUACAGGCAGAAAGCAGAAAACUCGAUUUUUCAAGAAGUUUGCAUGAAAAUCAAACAAGCAAGCCUAGUCUCUGAUACCACUAAUGCGUUUUGAGCAUUCUAACACUUCCUAAGUGUACAUGCAACCCUAAUAACCUUGGAUCUAUGUUUGUCUAAUAAUCAUGCAAAGUUGUUUUCCAAGGUUAUGAACCUAUCUAGCAUACUUGGGGUGCAAUUUUCUUUAUAUAAAAGAGUGAUUCAUGUCUUUCGCGUUAGCAUGACCAAGCCUUCGGUGCCAUAACAUUGCGUUUUGUUCGAAGACUUUUGAGAAAAGGCAAGUGACUAGUUUAGGUAGGUUGCUAUUCAUGCCAAUAAUGUAAGCAUUUCCAUCCCGCUUAGAUUUAACAAGAAUCCACUCUUCCUAGAUAACAAUGCCUGGCUUGAGAAUCAUACAUUCUUUGUCAGUAAAAUGGGUAGAAUAGCCUUUGUCGCAAAUUUGGGAAACGCUCAACAAGCUGUGCUUUUACUCAGAGCGAAGAUGACAUUCUCAAAUCUUAACACUCCAUCUGUGACAGUUCCUCUUUGUGUGAUCUUCCCACCAUCUCCGUCCGCAAAGAAGACAUAACCCCCAUUAAAAGAUUGAAUUUUUCUCAAUUGGGUGAUGUCUCCAGUUAUAUGCCGGGAACAACCGUUGUCGACGUACCAACGACGAACGGCAUUCCUCUAUAACUGUCCCCGCAAAAUGAGCGGAAUCAUUUAGAUUUGGGAACCCCGGUCAUCACUUUCAUGGGUUUCCUUUUCACUUUCUCUGAAUUUACAUUUAAAGAUCUCAAACAAGGAUCCUCAUUCCUAAUCACUUCAGAGGGUGGUAAUGAUGGAUUGGAAAUUGACUUGCGCACCCAAUGAGAUUUAGCUUUCACUGAGCCUCUGGAUGUUCUACCAGAAUUGGUUGAAGAUCAAGAAUGGCAUUUCGAUGAAACCGAUCUUGGCGGAGCCUUGUUCGGUUUUGGCAAACUAUUUUGAGUUUUGUAGAUAAAAAUCUUUUUAUUCUUUUUGAAAAACAACCCCUUUUCUACUGCGGUCAUCUUUCCAAUCAUCAUUUCAAGUACGAUUUUUUGAGGAUUUUCUAAUUAAAGACCUUCCUCAAGAUUCGUUCUCUCCUCUUGGUGACAAAUAGUGUGCAAAGAUCUUGUUUUGGCAAUUCCUAGCUAUAUGACCACCAACACCACAAUUAAAACAAAUUUGUUUAUUAUUUGAACUUGUACUACAUUUCUCAUAUUGGUUUUCUUUAUGGACACUCUUACUUUUCUCAGAAGAACAUGAAUAAGAACUAGAUUGAGAUAUAAGAUAGGGUGUGUCAGUUGUUGUGACUUGUGGAGUUGAUGGUGUUUCAUGAUUAUCACAAGCAUCAGAAUUACCAAACAAUUCAUCAAACAUAUCAAAGAAAUUAAAUUUAACAGAAUUAGAAUUAGCAGCAUCACACAAAACAUCAUCAGUCUUAACAUUUGAAUCACAAACAGAAACAAAAAUAUCAAAAUUAGGAACAGAAACAGAAACAUAAACUGCAUCUCCAUGCUUCGCUUGAUCUAAGGGUUGAUUUACAUAGGAAGUAGAAGCGUUAGUACUUUCAACAUUUAUAAACCCUCCUGAGACGAAACCAGAUGGUUUUCCAUAAACCAUAAAUGAUUCAUUGGAAAUAUCAUCUUUAGACAAGGGUUGAUACAGAUAUGUGUGAUUAUAAGGAGGAGGCACACUAUCAUAUCCCAAACCCUUUUGUUGGUUUUGUUUAAAAUCCAUGUAGUGAUCGAUCAUGUUGGCAACUACCUCGCUUGACCCAUCAACUUUUUAAAAAGCAAAGUUUUCAGAAUCAAAUCUUUCAUCAAUGUAUCAAGCUCGAUAGUCAGCACAUCAUUUUUCCUUUUAACAUAAUUAUACAGUUCACAUUUCUCACUGUACUAUGACUGGACUCUUCUAAAAUCGUUUAUCGUAGCUUCUAAUUGGGCCUUAAGGGGCUUUUGUCCUUUCCUAAGUUGCUAGCCCUCAUAUCUAAGGUCCUCUACUUCUCUACGCAAUAAUUGGAUUUAAUCACGAAGAACUUUAACAUAUUCUUUACAUGCAUAAGAACAAGAUGGUAGGGUUACCUCGCUAUUGUUGAGCUUGGAAGAGGUAGACGCCAUGAAAGCAAACUGCAGCUCCAUCAUUUCUGCUUCGGGAUCAGCUUCAUCAGUCUUCAAGGAAGCAUCAUCGAUCUGAGCUAGGUGAGCAUUUUCUGGCCCUGAAAUGUUCAAAGCCUGAAUCUGGUCCUCCUAGUCAAAAGACUGUGCGACCAUAACGGUCUCACCAUUAGCUGCAACACCUGCACGGUUGUUUCCCACUGCUACCAUCGUUCUGUUGUUAUUGACCCUGUGAUCUGACUUUGGACAAUCACGAGCAAAGUGACCUGGCUCGUGACUGUUGAAACAUCUCAGCGUGCUCUUGUUGAAUCCCACCUUCUUGUCAGUAUUCAUGCCCCAAUUACUCUUUCCAGUCUUCUUAGCAAACUACUUGGCCCUGAAAACAACCAUAGCAAUCUGCCACGUGAUGUCCAUCUCUUCUACGUCUUCAGGAUGAAUCUGGUCAAAUCAGCAAAUGACAGCUGAGGUAGAACAUCUCCAGCUACAAAAACAUUAUAGCAGUGAAGAAGCCCAGUAGCUAGAGCCGGAUUUUCAUCAGUAUCCUUAGGGUUUGAGGAAGAGGCUACAGUAGGCACAUUUGGAGAAGAAACUGUUGGAUAAGGUGUCUAAGUCCAAACUUAUUUGCUAUAUACUUGACCCGACUCGACAUGGUCCAUUUGGGUUGCACUGCACCUAAACUAUUUAUGGAUAAUUUUAUGAGAAUUUUGUACUUACGAUUUAUUAAUAUAUUAUAAGUUAUAAUAUAUUAAUAUAAAGUCAUGAUAUUUAAUUAGUUUUAAUCUUGAAUUAAUUAUGAAUUAGUUUAGUGAUUAAAAGGAAGACUAAUUAAAUUAUGGGCUAUUACAUUUAUAUGGUGUGGGCUAAUACUCAUUUAUUAAUGGGCUAAGCUUAUAUGGAAGUCCAUGGAUGAUCCAUGGAGCUUUAACCCAUGGAUCCUUGGAAGAGGAAAAGACAUGGGUUAUUAGGGUAUCACUCUAACAUACACACUAUAUAAACAAGCUUAUGUUGCAUGAAAAACCACCAUAGAGUGUGUGUAAUAGUGGUGGCCGAAUUCUAAGAGUUAUUAUACUCUCUCAUAUAUUUUCCAAGUUUGUGGUGAUUUGUGAUUUCCACUUGAGGCAUUCACAUUAUUGGUGCUUGGCUCUUAGAAUCCAAGGAAUCAACAAUCAACAAAAGGUAUGUAACUCAUCUAAUUCUUUUAUGUUUAAAAGUACCCCAUGCCAUGCUAGAUAGGUUAUAAACCUUGGUAAAUAAUUUUUUGCAUGUACCUUAGAAAAACAUAGAUCCAAGGUUUAUUAGGGUUGCAUGUACACUUAGGAAGUGUUAGAAUGCUCAAAACCCAACAGAAACAACACGUGGGGAGACAAAUGGUUGAGUCUGAGGAUGAGGAAUAGGUGAUGCAGUAGUGAAGGUCUAAAUCUGAGAUGGUUUGGCAGCAAACCCUUGACCUGAAGAGGACAUGAUUGAGGAAAGAGCAUUGUUGGAUGAGAUCCCAAGAUUUUCAGCAGAGUAUGAGCUCAUGUGAUUGAUCUCUCUCUGUUUGUCAUCAAUAUCACAAGCUUUGAUGAUUGUCAUUAUUUCAGCAAGAGUGAGGCGGUUUAGAUCCUUAGUCUUCUUGAUCAUAGCAACAUUCAUAUCCCAUGAUCUGGGAAGAGCGUUGAGAAGCUUCUUGUUGAUUUCUGACUUCGUCAAGUAAAUCCCAGAUAUGUUCAUGUCCGUUGUGAGUGUUGUUAACCUCUGCAAUUAAGCCUCAAGAGUCUCUCCUGGAAUGUAGUUGAACAUGUUGAACUUUUGUCUCAACAUGUCGAGGAGACUCUCCUUCAUAUCCUCAUUGCCCUCAUAAACUUCAAUUAGGGCUUCCCAUAGAACUUUAGCUGAAGUGUACUCACGAAAACCAUGAGUGAUGUCGGGAGAUAAUGCCAUAGUUAAUGUGGCUAAAGCCUUUUCUUGCUCCUCAAUUUUUUCAAACUCCUCAUCAGUGUAGUUUUCAACCUCCUUGUCAAUCACUUGGUCUCCGAAUGUCGUGGUGAUUGUAACAGGGCCUCUAAGAAUGCUUCUCCAUACCUUAAAGUCCUUCAUUUUGAUGUACUUUUCAAUUCUAUACUUCCAUUCGGGGAAACCAUCCGCAUACAUAAAUCAUGGAAUUCGUGUGGUGGUGCCCAUAACAGUGUCAAGUUCAUGGAAAUGAUUUUUACCUUGAGAAUCCAUUUGAAAUGAAGCAAAUUAAGCAAAUUAAGUUCAAAAUUUGAGUUUACGGUUGAAAGUGUUUACGACCAUAAACUAGGUUUACGGUUCAAGGGAUUACGACCGUAAACAAGGUUUACGGUAUAUGAGUUUACAGUUUGAGUUUCCGGUUUAUGUGUUUGCGAUCCUUGAAAGUUAGUUUACAGUUUAUGAUGAUUCUGAGAUUACGGUUCUUGAUGUUCUUGAAUCAACAACCGUAAAUGGAGUUUACGGUUGACAGCAAACUCCCAGAAAGCCCUUAUAAACAGGAUUUUUCAGUAGAACCGAUCCCUUCACCACGUAAACAAUAACAGCAGGUUCAAACUUCAAAGAUAUCGGUUGAGAUAGCCAAAAAAUAGAUUGAAAGAAGCCUUGACACUGGUUUCUGCUCUGAUACCAAUUGUAAGGUCCAAAUAUGGAUCUUUAGCAGUAGUUAAGCAACAAUCAAUCACACAAGAAGAAUAAGAUGAGAAGAAACCAAGCUUGCACACGAUUAUAUUUCAAUAAAUCAUCAGGUACAACUUGAUGGACUCUAUGUAAAUGCAAUGGCAUCAAAAACCUACAAAUGACCUACACCUCCACUAUAUAUACUCGACCAGACUGUAAACUAGGUUUGCUACCGUAAACAGGGUUUACGGUCUUAAAGAGACAAACAUUCCAAAAUGCAUACACAACUCAUAAACAGUAUUACAGACUCUAUCCAAAACAAUAUACACUGUAAGCCUAGACCAAACCAUUAAUUGGACCCUUCAAGGUCAUAGUAUACAAAUUCAGUACACCGUUUUCUAGUACAAGACAUACUUUUCAAAUAGAACACUUGGUAGACAAAACUAAAAACUUACCAGUAAAUGGUUUAAUCCAUUUUAUUAAACCAGUAUACCUUAAAGGACCUUAGGUGGUUAAUUCUAUAAUACCUUAGUUUAUACAUCAAUGUUAUAUAUAAUUAAUACCCGAUAGAUAGUUGGAUGUGUGUUUUCCGCCUUACUUCCCGUUACUUGUUUGGUUGUGGGUUUAGGGCAGAUUCACACAAAAUAACUAUUUAUUCGAUAUUAGAUUAUAUGUAGCUAGUAUAAGCUAAGUGAUUAUAGAAGGAACCAUUGUGGUUACCAUUUUUACUAAAAGAAAUAAGAGUUUUCUUAAAGAAUGUUUUCAUCAAAUAUAAAGAAACUAUUACAGUUAACUUCAUAAGUACCAAGUGAAUAUGCCAGGGUUAUAUACAACGAUGAUCUAACAAACAAUAGGAUGUAUGUUUUCCACCUUACUUCCUGUUCCUUUUUUGGUUGCGGGAUUAGUGCAGGUACACACAAUCGAUUGUUUGUUUACUCUGGGUUUUAUAUAACUUGUAUAAAUUUAGUACUCAUAGAAAGGAUUGUAGAGUCAUUUUUACUUAUCUUUCGUCAAAACAGGUAAUAUAGGAUUUUCUAGAGGAACAUGAGAACUUCUCUACAAAGAACUUACAACUUACCUUACAUCACUAAAAUCUUUUGAACUCACCAGCUUAAAUGCUGAUCUACUCUUUCAAAAUAACUUGUAUUCUUAGGGGACCAGUAGACAUAUACGUAUACUGGGAUUCAGAAGAUGGAGCAUAGUAGCUUCAUGUCUUGUUUUUUUAUUUACAUAUGUAGUCUAAGUUAUGUGAACCACAUACUUUGUAAAUACUUUCUUUCUAAUGAAAUGGUUGUUUAUUGCUUUGAUUACUAUAUUGCAUGUCUUGUGAUACUAAACAUGACGUCCUCCACCCCCGAACGUUUCCGCCAUUCCAGUUUGGGAUUGUAAUAGAAAGAGUUACAAAAUAUAAAUUUUAUGGGAGAAAUUUCGAACCACAAACUUUCGGAUACCCCCGUUUCACCAUUCUCAUCCCUUCUUAAGACUUCAGACCGAUUCUUAUCCCUGAUUUCGGAGUUUCAAUCAAUAGUUGUCAAAAGUCCUGAUUCAACGCCUCUUCCGCCUCUGAUACCCCUGGACCUGAAUAAAACCUUGAAAUUUCUCCUAGCAUUCCCAACACUGUAGUUUAAAUUCCGAACCAUAUCCAUCCUAACAACUGUGUUAUUGAGGAAAUUAUUCCGGAGACAACUGGACCUGACUCGGAUAAAUCAGAUUUUGUCUAGGCAUCUUUUGAUAGUGACAUUGAAUAAGAAAUCAUAGUAGAAUAUUCAUCUGAUUCUUGUGUAUUGUGAUUCUCAAGUGAUUAAAACCACCUUAGUGCCAAUUAAACCCAAGUUUACAACCCAUCUGCUGGCCAAACUUCCAAGUCAUCAUCUGACUCCAGGAAGAAACCUUCAAUAAAUAGAAAAGUUAUUGUCAAUCCUAAGAUAGAAGCAAAAAAUCCCUAAAAAAAGGAAAUUAGGUCAAGACAAGACUCCAGGUUCAUUGAGAAUUUCGAAGAGAAAGUAUCUCUGACUGUAAGCUCGACCACUAGGAACCGUAAUACAUUUUCGCCUGUUAAGAUUCUUAAAGGGCCAUCCGUUCCUCCUAGUUCCGUAGUUCAAAACAAAGUUAUUAAUCCUAUUCUCAAAAAGUCUGUUGAUACUUGUCCAACAAAAAAUAACUCUCCUCGAACCGUUUCCUCUAUUUUCAUUGCUAAGUCUGAUGGUGUGAUUUUUCAACCUCAACUGCCUUGAAAACCAAAUGUACCAUCAACAACAAAAAACAAAGAACGAUUUGUUAAAAACAUUCUCACUCAAAAAAUUUCAAAUAAUUCAAAACAAAAAUUUGAGUGGAGAGCUAAAAGUGUUGAAAAAGUAAUUGCAACUUCAAGUAACAUUGUGAUCCCUACAACUCCAAAAAUAGUCAGUCUGAGAAAAGUUGUUCCGAAACACCUUGUUGUUCAAUAUGAUUUCUAGAUCAUGAAAAGACCUUUGUAUUUUGCUUCAUUCCCAAAGGAUCUAGAAACAAGCUCUCCGAGACACCUGUUUCUCAAAAGUCACAAUCCAAGUCCAAAGCCCGUCCCAAGUCCCAAAACCUAACUGGGAGCUUAAAAACUCCAAAAUUCACUCAUUUUUGCAGGCACUCUAUGCUUCAGAACAAGAUACAAUAUGGCAUAUUGAUAGUGCUUGUUCCAUGCUCAUGAUGGGGUAGAAGGUUUUUCUGCGUGAUCUCAAAGUCUCACCAAAUGCUGGCUAUGUGACGUAUGUCAUCAAUUCCAACUCUAAGAUCCAAUGUUAUGGCAUCAUCACCAAUAAAAACUCGUCUAUCUCAAACAUGGCGUACGUAGUUUUCCUGAAGCAUAACCUAAUUAGUGUGCCUCAACUUACUAAUUCAAAUCGUCGAGUUGAAUUCUACAUGAAACAUAGCUAUGUCAUGACUGAAGAUCGGAAAGAAUGUCUGAUCAAGUCAAAUCGCAACAAGAACAUGUAUCCUCUUGACAUCAAUUGAUCGUCGGCAAACCUCAACUAUGCCUACUCUCAAACGCAGUUGCUAAUGUUAGUUGGUUAUGGCAUUCAAGGCUUGCUCAUAUAAACUUUUUAUAUAUGAAUGAUCUUGUUUUAAAUGAAAUGGUUAUAUUUUUGACUCCCUCAAGUUUGAAAACGAUCAUCUCUGUGCUGCCUGUGAAUGUGGGAAACAAUCAAAUAAAGGUCACCCUGUCAUUAUCACAUAUUCGAGGGAUAUGAAGUACACUUGGUGGGAGAGAUCCCACCAUACUCUCUCUAACUAGAGGACUACAUGUUUAGUGAACACGAAACAAGUGACCACUGCUUGUCUAUUUAUAGAGACAGGUAAAUUACAAAAAAUAAAGUGAAUAAAAUCACCUAACUAACACUCUUAAUUUGUGGAGCAAUUCCAUUCUCCAACAAUAUCAUAGGCCCCUAUAGUGCUAGUCAUGAGUCUUCAGGCUAGUGAUCGAAUAACAACAAGAUCGGCAUCGUACAAUGAGCUUUUCAUUUUAGUGGUUAGAGGGUAUCAUGGUGUGCCGUGAACCAGUGGCUGUAUGAUUCAUCAGGGUGGAAUUAGUGGUUGUACUAUGAAUCAGAAGUCUCUUGCUUAAUUAUUGCAUUAUAAACACCUUUUGCUUGUAGGAUGUUUAUUAGGAGUUUGGUUACCAUUCAUGGGUAUCAGUUCUGAAAAAUCGAGUCACAAUGUUUUUUGUAAAUGUCUGAUGUUAUAUUUCAUAUGAAUAUACUCCAAAGCUGAUGAGGGAUUUGGAUGUAAUGAGAGAUUCUUUGAUUAACUGUCAUUUUGUUAGUGGGAGUAGUGGGUUGGUGAUGACUUUUCAUGAAGUCAAGUGUGUAUUCAAUUUUUUUGGGAACUAUUUCCGGAUUUAGGAAUGAUUGGAAUUCGCAAUCAGUAUGCAUUGAGUUUUCUUUCUGUAGGGUUGGUUGGGUUCAUAGUCAAGGAGUAGAGGUAGGUACGUCAAAUGGAUGGCCUUCAGUCUUAAGGUACGGUUCUUGUAGUUUAGACUGAUGGGUCUUGAUCUUGAGGUUAUAUUUAUGGAGUUAGUUGUAGCUCCGUUUUUUUAUAAGUUUCCCCGUUUGAUUAGUUUUCACUAGGACAUGGGGCUUACGGUUAUUGAGAGGAGGGUAGUGGUUUUCGUUGAGUAUUUUCAAGUUAUUGGGUUGUUUGCUGGCAGUUGUCAGUUUUCGAGUGGCCUCUUGAGUUUUCUUUACAAAGUUCCUUGAUUUCGAAGUGGGUAAAGGAAUUUUAUGGAAUAAAUUGGUGAUGUUACCAAAUAUCCUAACACGAAUUUCCAGGAAGAACUCCAGUUUAAGUGGGGGAGAGUUGUAACAUCAUGUUUCAAGAAUAUUCUUAUUUCGGGAUGAUGGACAACAAAUGGAUCAAGUAAUUGCCUUGGGCUUCAAGGGAAUAGGGUUUUUUAGACCCCAUUGGAUGUUGAUAAUAUUGUUUAUGUGAUUUAAGCCCUUGGUUUGUGUUUUGGAGUGAAAUGGUAAAAUAGGAAAAGUGAUGUUUCGUACUUAUUUCAUGCAUUAAGGAUUUUAGUUUUGUGUGUUUUCAGUAAAAGUGAUUAGAUAUAGCUGUGGGGCUCAUCAAUACCUUUCGUGGAUAUAAAGAUCACAAAAAAUGGAUUUGAAAUGAAGACGUUAUGGUUGUUUGAAGCUGGAAUGGAUUUAGGUGGAAAACCAUCGCCGCAGAGUGGGGAUCUGAGCCUCCGAUGUGGCAGUCGCGAUGCCACGACAAUCAGUCAGGCCUAAGCCCAUGAUUCUUAGGUUUUAAAACAUCUUUAAGCAUAAGGUUUUGACUUUUUUGACAUUUUAUUAGCCUCUAUCUCUAGAACCCCUUGACAGAAGUUUAAUUAUCAAGAAAGUUCUUUUGGUUGCAAGAAAUAAUGUAACAAGUUUGGAUCCAUCAAAGACACUACAUUUGUGGACUAUUAUAAGUAUAAACUUCCGAACUUGUUAUCUACUUCUUUAGAUCUUGUCAUUUGAGUUUUUUUUUGGCACUUUUGGUCCAUUUUAUGCAUGAUCUUGGAGUUGAGUGGACUUUAACAUCUUUUAACCAGUUUAGAAUGCUUCAUGGACAUCAUGAACUAGGAAAUUAGUAAUAUUUUGCUUUCCCUUAUAACUAUGCAAGUUUUCUUGGUCGUUUAGGUCAUUUUGGUGCAUUAAAGUUUAGAUCUUGAAAGUUUGUGACAUUGUUACGGAUAAAUUUGGAAACUUUAUCCAUGUAAACAACAUUUUGAUUCAGAUUUGAAGGUUGGAGACAUGGAAAUAAUGGAUUGAGUUAAGAAAGAUGCAUUUGUGGGUCCCUUUGACAUUUAAAGUCCAAAUCUUCAUGCUUUAGACCUUCCCAAUGGAUAAAGUUGGAAGAGAUCAGAUCUGAGCUUUGGAGCUCUUGAAUUUGGAAGAAAAUGGAUUAGGCACAUUUGAGAUAAUCAGACUAAUCCCCAUUGGAUGGCCUUAGGCUACCAUGACAUGGCGACUAGGGAAUGAUCGACUAUUUUGGCAUUUUGUGCCCACAACUUGAGCAAGGAAGGCCACGACAUGGACGACUACUGUUGGCAAUUUCAACCUUCCUCUGACCGUUGUUUUUUUGACUAGUUUGACAUUUGGUCAAAAUUAGGUAGAAUUGAGAUUAUGACUAAGCGAUGGUCUCGGUUUGGUUUUAAGAAACAUGGGUUAGUUGUUCGGAUGCUGAGGUAGCUGUUGGGCUUCUGUUCAGUAGUUUAGGUGAGUCUUGUCACUAUACUUGUGGGUCAAAGGUAUCAAUGUCGACCCACUAGAUUACGUUAUGUAGAAUGCCAGCUGCAUUUGUGACUCUUGCAUGCGUGAUUGGGUUGAAAUACACCCUUGGGAUGGCCCCACUACUAUACGUUUGGGUUGAAAUAAACUACAAGGAUGUGCCCCAGGGAUGAGCCAUCCGUUGCAUGUUCAUCUUGAAAUACACCCGAGAGCUACACCCAUGAUUGUAUGUGAUGGGUUUUACAUAUAUUAAUGCGGAUAAAUCCUUAACUCUUAAGGGUACAUGCAACCUAAGGAUCUAUGUCAUAACUCUAUUGAAGUAAUAUGCUAUUGAACAAAAACAACUAUAACCCCUAGGUAAUUACAAAUAUGACAAAACAAAAGUCGACUUUACAUAUCUUUUAGUUAUUGUAUUACAUAACUAAUCAAAAUCCUUCUUGAAAAACUCUUGAAAGCAAGCACCACAAGUGUCGUGCCUCCCAUGGUUCAUACCGAAACCCUAGCAACCAAGGAUUUUGAAGAGAGAGAGAGAGAGAGAGAGGAGAAAAGUCAAAAUUUCUGCUCUAAACCUUCUCUUGAAGGCAUGGACGAAAUUUGUAUCCCAAGAGUCCUUUUUAUAGUGUAACAGGGAAACCCUAGAUAACCAUAAAAGAAAUAAAAUAAUAUUAUUUCCUUUUGGUAAUUAGCUAACUUCCUAAUUAUCCUCCAAGGAUAAUUCUAGAAUCCCUAGAUCCUCCUAAAACCGGCCAAGGAAAUAGGAAGGUACUAGAAUGCAUAUUGCUCACCUACUGAACAAUUACACAUUAAAUCUUGUACUUUAAGUUAAUCUAAUUAGUCCCAAAAUUAAUUCCAAUUAAUUUCUGAUUAAUUCUUAAUUAAACAUUACUAUUUCUAAUUAAUAUAUCAUUCUCAUAAUAUAUUAACAAAUAAUUUAUUUUGAUUUCUAAUUAAUUUAUUAACCAUAUAAUAAAUUAAUAAAUCAGACUAUCUGUCUAGAAGUUAUCAUAUUCAAUUAUUAGGUUUGAGGGCCACCCAAAAGGAUUGUGUUACUAUCAAUUAAAUUUUAUAACAUUUAUAGUUAUGGGCUUAAACAUCCAAUCCAUCACUCUCCCACUUUUAUAAGUCGGUCACCAUAAUUGCCAAUAUAACUUCUAAACUGACCAGAAAAUUGUAGCUUCUAAAAACAGUUAUGGAACUCUGACUCAGUCAGUUACAUGUCCUAAGAUAAGUGAUCAAAUAUUCCUCCCUUCUAGAAGAUAUCAUACAGACAUGAGACACGAAUUAUAAACAAUCUCAUUUUCCAAGUUAUGUUUCCCGAUUUCUGAUUUUUUAUGAUAACAUAAGACUUCUAAUCGAACACAUCAAUUCAGUCAUGGCUAGGCCUAGCACUUAUUAGUCAAUACCAAAUCACCGAGGGGCCCAAAAUAUCGCUUUUCCCGUUAGGGAAAAAGGAACGAAUAAACUUUGACUUAUAUUCUUUCACUACUUACCCAUCAAAUCAUGUACAACAAUACAUUUGAUAACAUCAAUUUACUGAUGCGUUUACAUAUUAUCAAUGAACAACUGACUUGUAAACCAUAACUCGUAUAUCUUCGUUUCAAGAACAUGAGAUAUUAUUGUCUUAGAAUUUCUCGUGAUGAAAUCCAUGAAGUAAUUCUCUGAGUGUUGGUACAUCCAAUACAUAAAAACCCCAUUACUAAGUACUCGUGAACAUUGCAACAAACAAUUGUUAUGUCUAAAACUCUUUGGACAAUCAACAAUCUAGUUCGACAGUCUUAAUUCGCUACUUACAUCGAAAAGUAUGAUCGACUAUGGAAUUUCAAAUAAUCAAAUUAUUUAGGAACUAAAAACUGCAAAAUGAAACACAAUAAUAACCUAAUUAACUAUGUUCUCAAAACUAUUGAAUAUAAAUAAAACUCUAAUUAUUUAAUCACCAUUUUAAUUAAUACUUUAUUCAUUGUAUAAUGUUUCGAAUAAUCAAUAAAACACUUGAAUUAAACAUCAGUCAUGUCAUGUUAUGAACAUGCAUACUAUGUUUCUUUAUGGUCCUUCCUUUGUGAACAUAUCGUCUGGACACUAUUCCACUGAUGUUCAUUUCACAAUUCCAAAUUCUUGUCACUACUAAAAGGUGUAAGAAUUCCAACAUUACAUGCAUCGAUAUUAUGUGAUGUCGAGGCUUCAAAAUCACAGAGACUUACCAACGAUAUAACAAAACAUUCCUUUGGAACUUUGUUACUAAAAACAAUUCCAUGGUAAUGAUGUUUCAAAUUCAAAGUACACUCCUUGAACACCUUUCUUUGAUUAAAGUUCCCAACUCACAUGUAAAUUUUAAUAACAACUGCCACUAUGGAAACAUUUACAUAUUCCCAUAUUUCUAUCAAUUAUGAUCAAGAAUCAUCUUAAUCCAGAAUUAUGUCAAUAUGGUUCUUCCAAAUUAAUACUAUACUUCCAACUGACAAUUGUUUAACAACCUUAGUCGCACAAAGUUCUAGUCCUUUUUCCUUCUCAAUGCCGAAGUCAUUUGGAAAAUUCAGAACAAGUGAAUAUUUUAGCAUAUGAAGUCGAUCCUAUAUUCGAAGAACAUGAGACUACAUUAUGCGAUACAGUCAAAACAAGGUAUUAUAGUACAAACCGAAUAGAUACCUCAGAUAAUUCAUUAUGUUUUACAAAAAGACCUUGUAUCUCUUGCUAUAAUAUUUCCAUAUAUCAAAUUUCCUAUGUUGAAUCAUUUAACCAUGAUAUUCAUCUUUGUCCAACACUAAAUUCUAUUAAAACCUUCAAUCUAAAAUUUUUGAUUCGAAACGAAGUAUGAGUUCCCUUUCCUUUAAACCUUACUAUAUCAAAACAAUUUCUAAUCUUUGCAACUUGGAAAUUGAAAACUUUCUUUCUUACGAAAGUGCAGAUUUUUGAUACGUGAUGCUUUGAUAAGUCUCCAACUAGACUUCUUAAGCUUAUACACCUUCAUUAGAUAGCAUAUAUGUGUGUUUAAACCCUUUCUAAACUUAUAGAUAUAUGUAUUGAAUGUUCAAACAACUCCUUGCCGUUUCUCAUAAUUCAAAAUACGAAGUGGGAUUCCGUAAUCAUAUUAUGAACUUGAGAAUGCAAUUAACACAACUACUAACCAUAAUAAUAAUUAUCAGAUCUUUUAAAAUCUACUAACGAAAGUGUUUCCUCAUAAUUAGGCGGUGUUUGGUUUAGCUUUUCACAGCCAAAAGUCCUUUUUGGAAAAGAAAAAAAAAGCAAAAGAUGUUUGGAAAACUAGUUUUAGAAGCUACUUUUGAAGUUUUUACAUAAGGAAAAUGAACUUUUUGGAAAAGUCAGGAAAUCCUAACUUUUUGUAAAUUUUCCAAAAAGGACUUUUGGGGUUUGAAAAGCUAAGCCAAACGCCCCCUUAUUCUCAUAAAUUAGACCAAAACCUUUUGCCACCUGGAUUGUAUGGUUUGUACAUUCCAAUCCAUGUGAAUCUAUCAUUUCCAACCUACAAUAAAAAGAUAAGGUUUGGGAACAAACCAAAUUCAAAUUUAGCUUUCCUUUCAUGGACUGAACUUUUCUUAUUCUUAAUUUCUUGCUCUUUGCCACUAAAAGGUUCUACCAAUGCUUCCAUGUUGUUAAGAAACUCAUCCAUAUUAAUCAAUGUACUUUCAUUGAAAAACGUGCUUUGCUUUUGCAAUUAAAUGAAAAACAUAAAACUCAUCAUCAUGGUUAACUCAACUGGAAGGUACAAAGAAACAAGAAUGUGUCAACUUAACACAAUAGGUUAUCAACCUCAAGUCGUGUGCUAGUGAUAACUAAAAGGUUUAUUGUCGACUGACUCCUGAAAAUCUCAUGAUCAAAAAGACUUUCACUGACUUCUUAACAUAUAAGUUUCCCUCUUAUGGAACAUUCCUUGACGAGCUAAAAAUAAUAUUCAAAAGUUAGUGUGGAUUCUCGACAUGAAAACACUUCAUAGAAUAGGUCUCAGUUUAUCCAUUGUUUUAACCAAAACAUCACAACUUCCAAUUCCAAAUAUGCUAUAGUAAGAAAAUACUAUUACUCUACAUUUCAUGAGGUGUUAUAAACCUACUUAAUAUGAAAUAAGUUUUCAAGACACGAUCUGUAGUAACUACAGGGUGUCUCUAAAACUUGAUUGGAAACGAAGUAUGACUCAUCUCAGUUGAACCAUUUCCACAAUAUCCGAUUCCUAUUCUUAGUCACAUAAUUUCACUAACAUGUUCUUUGAGGAUAAAUUGUGAUAUAGUUCCACAAUCAUUAAUAUGAUCAUAAAACAUGAUGCCAAAGUACUCUCAUUUCCUUUCAUAUUGGAGAAACUUUUAUCUUUCUGCCUGACAAAUUAUUCUUAUUCGUUAUACUACUUUUUGAAUCUUUUCAAAGUUAUCGAAACUAUGAUUAAUAGCAUAAACACAACCAUAUUUAAUAAAAAAUUAGUAAAUCAUGACGAAUAGCGCUAGCAUCAUUUAUGGUUGAUCUGAAUAGUCCAUAUCAACAUAUAUUAGAUAUAUUAGUCAUUCACUUGACUCACAUAAAUAUGUGAUCAAUGAAUUAGUCAUAAUCUUCCAAAGAUUAAUAUUCUUAUACAUCAUGCAAUUUAAAUUGCAUGAAUCCAAGUUUCUAUCCAAUUGAAACUUGGGUGAUGAUAAUUCUUUAUCACUUAGUUAAUUAUGACAUUACCACAAGCAAUACAAUAAGAAUCAAAUCCGAAUUAACAUAUCUAAUAGUAGAAAUGUAAUUACCAAUUUCAUAAAUUCCAUUGUAAUAUAAAGUAAGCCAACUAGAUGAACAAAAAAAACACUUUUAUUAAAUAGAAACAAAAAAUUUGGAACUUUUCGUUACAAUGCAUAAAAUGAAAACUAUGUUUCUAUACAUCUCUUAAGCAACCUAUUCAAAUAUCAUAACUCCUAAGCAGUGGCUCCAAAUUCUAUUCAUCGACCCAUGCGAUCAAAAUCCACCUCUCACAAUCAGAUUCAACUUACCCUUCUUAAGCUUGCUUCUUUCUCUUAGAUCCUAAAAAAAUGGAAUCAUCACAUCAUGUAUUAAUUGUGUAUGAAUAGGAACUUGUUAAGAUAAUGGAGUUAGAUAAUAGAUGUACCUGAAGUAGAGUCAAAAGACUUGACUUUACCAUCUUUGAGAUCUUUCAGAUAGUCUGGACAGCUUCGCAACCAAUGUCCCUUCAAUUGGCAAUAGAAACAUAUGGACCUUUUAGGGUUAGCACACUGAACUAUCUCAGAACUAGCCUUUCUAUUUACCAUACAAUCAAAUGGUUUGACGUUGGUGAAUCCCUUUCAAUUAGGAAGAGAAAUAUUUUAUGGAUCACCAUUUUUGGCAUUGUCAAUUUUCGUGGAAGCUUUGGAAUCAGACGCUUCAAGCACAUUUGCGUCACUUGUGCUCUUAACCAUUUUUGCUUCAGUAGCCAUCAAAAUUUGGGUCAAAUCAAUUAGGGUCACGACGAGGUUCCUCAUAUAAAAGUUCUCGAUGAACUAACUAUAUGACAUAGGAAGUGAAAGUAGAACCAAAUGAAUGGCUUGCUCCCUUGGGAAAAUGACAUCCAUUCUAUCUAAUUUUUUCAAUGUACGAUUUCAUUUCCAAAACAUGUGUACACACAGAAUUUCCAUCUCGAAGUUUACAUGCCAAUAGGGAUUAAGUACUUUCGUAUCUUUCAUCUAGUGGAAAACCUGAUGUAGGGAGACUCACUGGAGGAGGAGGAGGAGGAAGAGUUAGAGAAGCAUGACGUCUAGUUCCACCAUUUCCUAAAGAAGAGAAAGCAUUUCACCUUGAUUUGAUAGUUGAAGAUCAUCGUCAGAAGGAAGAGGAAAAUCAUUUCCACAAGAAUAAGGAAGACCAUUGUUAUGUUGACUGGACAUCUAUAAUUGUAGAAAAGAGAAUUCAAUUUAGUUAAUUUUAUUCUUAAUUAUUGAGCCAUAAAUUUUAAGUUAAGGCUAGGAUCCAUAUUUUCGAUUCAAACUUUGAAUAGGGAUGAUGUAAUCAAAUUCGAAUCUAUUUUAGGUAGGUAAGCCUUUUACAAAUUUUAAUCUUAUGAAACUCCUUGAUAUUUUGAGAUUCAUUGAAUCUAAUCAAUGCCAUGUUUAAUCUCAUAUUAUGCUCUCACGUUUGUGAUUGGGAUGUCGAGGAUCACAAACGAGAUGUGAAUAACCAUGCAAAUUAUCUUGGUGUAACAUCCCAAAUUUUCCAAAUAAAUUUUUCAUGUUUUGAUAACCAAAACAUUCUCAUAAAUAUGAAAUCACAAUAAAAGUUGUUUCCAAAAAUCAUAACAUCAAAUAUUUUAUUCAAUAUAUCAGACUGUCCCAAAAUAAAAUUGCCAGAGAGAGUGCAUGUUGCGCCAUCAAACCGGGUCAUUGCCCUUAGGCUUUGAAGUACCUGAAAUAAACAAAAAACUAUAAGCUAAUGCUUAAUGAGUUCCCCAAAGCAUACCCCGCAUAAUCUACAUAAUCACCGAAUCCAUAACAGCUCUAUAAUCCACACAUAAUACAUAAGCCAUGAGUACAAACAUAUAAGGAUGCCAUGGAAACCUUUCAAGGGCAUACACCUGAAGGGUUUUGAGCAUUCUAACACUCCUAUGGUGUAGAUGCAACCCUAGAAACCUUGGAUCUAUGUUUUAUAUAUGAUACAUACAAAUUUGUUUUUCCAAGGUUCAUAACCUAUCUUCCAUACAUGAGGAACUUUUAAACAUAAAAGUUAGUAAGAAAUACAUACCUUUAGUUGCUAGGAUUCCUUGAUAACCUUGUGAGCCUAGCACCUCAAGUGUGAUGCGUUAAAUGUCUCACACAACACCACAUGCACUUUCAAUAACUUAGAGAGAAAUGAAGAACACUUAGAAAUCGGCUAGCCCUCUCUUAUAUAUCUUAGUGGCCAAUUUUGGUGAAGAACAUGAAGCUUAUAUAGUGUGUUACAAUUUGGGUUACACCAUGUAAACCCUAAUUGUCAUGACUUUUCAUUUCCUUGACCCAUGGGUUCUAUAAACACCAUGGAGCAUCCUAUGGGUUUUAGCCCAACUUGAUAAUACAUGAAGCAUUAGCCCACUAUAUAAGUAUGGAUGAUUUACACAAUCAACCCAUAUAUUUAAUUAGUCUCCUUUUGAUCACUUGAUUAAUUAUAAAUUAGUUCUUGAUCAAUAUUAAUUAAAUAAUAAUAUUAAUAUAUUAGAACUUAUAAUACAUUAAUAAACCUUAAGUGUUAUUUCUCUCAUUAUAGUCUAUCCAAAUGCAUGAUGCCAUGCAACCCAAAUGGACCAUGCUAAGCGGGUGAAGUACAUUCCAUAGAUUGUUAUGAACAUAGACACCUAAUCCAACAGUCUCUCACUUGGAUAAGUCUAAUAACUACAACUACAAGAAUGACUUCAGGAACCGAUAAGCAAUCAUUGCUCUUUCAAGGUCUCGUGGAAUAGAGAUGAUGAUGAUACGCCAUUUAAGAUAAGUGAUCAUAUUAUCCUCUAUUCUAGAUAUCAGCCGGACAAAUACAUGGAACAAUGUCUUACUUAUUGUCCAAUAGUUUGUUUCUCGAUUUCCGAUUAGUUUGACAUAGAACAUAAUUGAACACAUCAACUUAGUUUUGACCGUGCCCGAUACAUGGGUCAACACAAAAUCAUCGAGGGGCCUAGAUAUCACUUCUAAUCCAAGAAGGAAUAGAUAAACUUAUCCCCAUAUGCUUGUUCUACUACUUGUUGAAUCAUACACAAAGGCACAUUUUAUAACAUCGAGUUACCAAUGCGUUAUCGUACAAUUAAUGUAUAACCAACUGAUAGGCAACAAGUGAUAUCUCUAUGUUUGAAGACAUAUAUGAUAUUACCGUCUCACGAUUACUAAAGAUAAAUUCCAUGAAGUGAUCCCAGUGAGCGUGGGUUGAAUCCAAUACUCAGAACUUAUGAGCACUCAUGAGUGUUGUAGCUGUUGGAUUAAUGUCUAAGUCCAUAACUAUAUUUGGUAAGACUUGACCCGACCCGGCAUGGUCCAUUUGGGUUGCAUACCAUCAUGCACUUGAAUGAGAGAAAUAAGACACUUAUGGUUAUUAAUAUAUUAUAAGUUCUAGUAUAUUAAUGAUAAGAAUAAUAAGAUUAUUUAAUUAGUAUUGAUCAAGAAUUAAUCUAGGAUUAAUUAAGUGAUCAAAAGAAGACUAAUUAAAUAUAUGGGUUGAUUGUGUAAAUCAUCCAUACUUGUAUAGUGGGCUAAUGCUCCAUGGAUAAUCAAGUUGGGCUAAAACCCAUAGGAUGGUCCAUGGAUGCUCCAUGGUGUAUUUGUACCCAUGGAUCCAAGGAAAUGGAAAGCCAUGACAAUUAAGAGUUUACCCUAAUUGUGUAACUAUAUAAGCAUCUUAUUAUUGAGGAAAAAUCGGCCACUAGUAGUAUUCAAGAAAGGGCUAGCCGAUUUUGGUGAGUGUAGAAUUCUCUCAAGUCAUUCUAAGUGUUUUGAUGAUUGUGAUUCCAUUUGAGGUGUCACACUUGGGGCACUAAGCACUCAAGCUUCAUGAAGACUUUCUACAUCAAGAGGUAUGUAUUCUAUCUUGUUACAUUAUUGUUUUGUAUGCUAGAUUAGGAUAAUACCUUGGAAGUUCUUAUUUGCAUGUAUAAUAGAGAAAACAUAGAUCCAAGGUAUUUAGGGUUGCAUGUACACUUAGGAAGUGUUAGAAUGCUCAAAACCCAACAGUGGUAUCAGAGCCACGGGUUGUUUUCUGUUAUAUUGAUGCAAAUAUUUUAUUUUCAAAGUUGAAAAAAAAAAAAAAAAAAAACAUGAAGUUUGUCAAAUUUUAAGAUAAUUACUUGUUCUUGUGAAAAACUAAUUAUUUGUAAAAUUUGAAUAAUUUGCUUUAUGAGUUGAAUUAGGUCAAAUUUAAUAAAAGAUAAAAUAAUAUGAUUAUUUUAUUAGUUUUAAAAGUUUGAUCUAAAGAGUUUUAUUUUUUGAAACCUCCAUAAGUUAUGGAUAUGAAAAGGUUUUAAAAAAAAAAUUGAUUCAAAGUUUUUUUGGAGUUACAAAAUUUGGUGUUAAUGUUUUAAAGGAUUCCAUAACUUAAGAAUAAGUUAUGGAUCACCAAAAGUUUUUUGUGUUACCUUGUUUUAUGAGUGAAUUUAGAUUAAUGAAUAAAAUUAUGUGAUAGUUGGUUUUAAUCCAAAUUAAUCUAAGAAUUGAUUCUAAAAUGUGUUUUUGUAACUUGUCCUCAAGUUAUAUGAAAAGUCACAUUUAAGAAUCAUAAAACUCAUAAAAAUUGGCAAAGGUUACAAAAAUGAAGAGUCUAGUUCUAAUUAAAUGGUUUUAUGACUCCAUAACUUGUCCUCAAGUUAUGGAGGACCAAGAGUCUCUUCAUUUAAUAAAAUAAAAUAAAAAAAAAAAAAGUGUAACCUUAAUUAAUUCCAUAAGUUAUAAAAUAAAGAAAAGUUAAUUCUUUUAUUAGUUUAAAGUCUUCCAUAACUUGUCCUCAAGUUAUGGAACUUGAAGAGUUUUUGGAUUAAAACUACUUUAAACACAUAAGUUAUGGAAUUAAUUAGUUUUGAAUAGUUUCAAAACUUGCCCUCAAGUUUUGGAAUUUGUAAAGUUUUCACUUAUGAAUACUUUAAUUCCAAGUUAGCCCUUAGAAUUUUAAAAGUUAAAAUUCAACCCUUAUACUUUAUAAUAUUAUAAGUUAAUAAUAUAUAUAUGUAUAAGAGUAAAGUCAGUCUUACCGCUAGUACGCCUCAUUCACGAAGCCGGUCUAUAAGGUGGGUAUAAGGUUGUUGCCUAUAAAAUGGCAACUUAAUGGGUGUCCACUCUCACCCACCGCUUGCUUGACUGGUGGAGGGUCGUUAGCCGAACGGGUUUGACAGGACUAGAAUUCUCCCUUCAUUAAAAGUAUUAAUGAUAAUACUAAGUAACUAAACUCUUAAUAAUACCCAAUCUUAGUUACUUAGGAAAAAUGUGAAUAAGGUGCUAAUCCAUGAAAUUACACUUUACACUUUGUCUAAGUCGUUAGUGGAGCGUGUGUGGUUAACCGGCACACUAACUUGGACUUAACAAGGUAGGUAAAGGGUGACUUAAUAUUUAUCAUAGUAUCGAUGGAGCGUGUGUGGUUAACCGGCACAUCGAUUGAGGGGUAAUUUAUUAAGGGUACCAAGUGAUUUGCAUGGUUACUUCACACCUUGUUUUGUGAUCCUCGGCAUCCCAGUCACAAAACCUGAAGGGCACACUCGAGAUUGAAACAUGCCUUUGAAAAGUUCAAUGAAUCUCAAAGAUCUAGGAGUUUCAAAACCAAUUAAAACCUAAUAAUACAUUUCGUUUAUCUUGGUGGAAAUUGGUGAAUCGUCAUUCACCUACCUUCAAAUAUUUUAUAGCUUGGAUUACGGCAUACCUCUUCUAAGUUAUAAAAUAGUUUGUUGGGUCCUAGCCUUAAUAUUUCAUAUUGGGUGUCAUAUUAAGGACUUUAAAUCAACUAUCUUGAAUAUCUCCCAAAAGAUGUCUGUAAUAGACACCUAUGAUCUUCCCAAAUCUAGUGAAACAAGGUUUCCUAAAUGAAGAUGAUGUCCUUUGGAAAUCAUACUUCUUUCACCUCCUCCAAUUAUUCUCCCUAACCCACAAGUUCUUGAAAAGUUUAAGGUCACUCAAGCCCUAUUGGCAAGGCAAGGUCUAGGUGUGAUCACAUCUUGGAGAUGUAGUCACAUAUUGACAAGCCGGGAGAGUUGGGUGUCAAAGUCUUGAGAAAGUUGGUGGUUCAAUCACUUUCUAAGUCACAUAGUGAGUUCCUUUGGGACACCUAUGAAACAGACUAUGACAAGACCCUUAAUGAUCUUAUCUAUUUGCUAAGAUCAACUUCCUAAAACUUUAUGGACAUUGACAAUGAUGACAUUGGAUAUCCAGUAAAGCAUUCUCUUCCCAAUGGAAAGGGAUCGGCCAUAGUCAACUCGGUUGACCAAAUGGUAAAGAGAAAAGCUAAGUCUGUGAUAGUCUCGUGUACCAUUAUCAAAGGGUCCAUAUGUUUAUAUUGCCAAGGGAAGGGGCAUUGGUUGCGAAGCUGCCAAAUUUACCUAAGGAUGUUAAAGUCAAUAAGUUUGACUCUACUUCAGGUAAAGACCACUAUCUAACUCUGUUAAGUUUCUAUUCUGAGAUUCCUGAUACAUGAUGUGACUGGGUCACAUGGUGAUGUUUUAAGAAUCAAAGAAAAGUGAAGAAACUUAAAGAAAGAAUAUGCUGAAUCUGAUGGCGUAGAUGGAUUUCUAUCGCAUAGUUUGAAGAUCGGAUUCUUGAGCAACUUCUUAGGAGUUAUGAGAUAUUGCUUAGGAAUAGAUAACAACAAGUUUUCAUAUGGAUUGUAAGGAUAAGUUUUUCCGCAAAGUUUUAAAAUAAAAGAAAAUUUUUGAUUUUAUUUAUUUUAAAAUAUCCUUACAAUGGCAUUUGAGGAAAAAUUGUUGCUUAUAUGAUUCCAUUAAGAGCAAGAGUGGAAAUAUGAAAUUGAUUCUUUCAUUUGUGGUAAUGUCUAGAUUUACCAAAUAAGGAAAGAUUCUCAUCACCCAAGUUUCAAUUGGACCGGAACUUGGAAUCAUGCAAGUUGUAUAGCAUGAUGAAUGAGAACUUUCAAGUUUUGGAAAAUUAAGACUAAUUACUCGGCCACAUGGAUGUGUGAGUCAAGUAAAGGACUAAGGGAUCGAGUACACAUUCUUGUGCACUGAUUAAGUCCACCACAAAAGAUUGAUAAGACUAUUCGUCAUAGUUUACUAAAGCUCAGUAAAUAUGAUUAUACUUACAAGCUUAAGUGUAACUCUGAGACAUUGGAAAAGGUUCCAAUGUAUGGCAGGGCGAAUAAGAAGAAUCAAAUAAGGCAGAAGGAUAAAAGUUUCUCAAAUCUGAAAAGAUGGGAGAGUACUUUAGUAUCAGUUUUGUGAUCAUCUUAAUGAUUAAGAAACCAUAUCAAAAUUAGUUCUCUAAGGAAAUCUUAGUGCAUUCUUAUGACUAAGAAGAGGAACUUGAAUUGUUGAAAUGGUUAAAUCAAGAAGAUGAGUCAUACUUCGUUCCAAUACAAGUCUUAGAGUCAUACUCCAAGAUUGUAACUUGAGUGACAUGUCUUAAAGAAGGUUUAAAACACUUGUCAAAUGUAAGAGUAAAAGUUUUCUACUCUUGUACAUUUGAAAUUGGUAAGUUGUGAUGUUUUGGAUAAAACAAAGACCAACUUAGGCCAAUUGUGUGAAGUGUUUGUCUUGAUUAGAAUCCGCACUAUCUCUUGGAUGUUUGACAAGGGAGUCUUAUAGGUCAAGAGGACAGUGGGAGUCUUAAAGGUCUUGAAAGUCUCAAGAACUAAUCAAGAAUAAAACCUAAAGUUCUUCACUAGCACACAACUUGAGGUUCAUAACCUAUCGUGUUGACAUAUUCUGUGCCCAUUCCAGUUAAAGUUGGCUUUGCAUAUGAGUUCUUAGAGUUCUCAAUUUGUUGCACAACAACUUGGAAGCAAUGGUAGGCCCUUGAGCUGCCAGGUGGCAAGAAAUUAAGAUUGAGUUCAGUCCAUAUGAGUUUGGAUUUGUCAUUAUCCUUGUCUUGUGACUAUGGUUUUGACAAUUCACAUGGAUAAGAACACAUACACCAUUAAAUCUAAGUGUCAUAAGGUUUCUCUCCGAUUCAUGAAAAUGAUGGUGAGGAAACACUUUCACUAAGUAGAUUUUAGCUAGAUAGCAAUUGUGAUAUUUGCAUUCUCAAAGUCGUUAGUGGAGCGCGUGUGGUUAACCGGCACACUAAUUUGGACUUGUGAGAAGUGGCAAAAAGGUCUAAACAUUAUGAUUACGGCAUCCCUCUUCAUAAUUGUUUAGAUACACAAGUGUGCUAUCUAAGGGAAGGUGUAUGAUUUUGAUAAAGUUUUAUCAAAACAAUCUAGCAUCAGAAAUCUGAACUUUGGUAAGAAAGUCAAUGAAGUAUUGAUUUCUAGAAGUCCAGCUGAUUUCUGAGUACAUGUCAAAGCUAGUGGGAGCAUAAGUGUUAUGCUAAUAAUCAUCAUGUUAGUGGGAGCAUGAUAAUUAUGAUAAGUAUUGCAAGUUAGCAAUGUUAAUUAUAGAAAACAAAAGUUUCAAUUGGGAAAAAGUUGUUUUGCUAUAAUUAAGGGAGAGGAAAUUAUACUUCAUCUCAAAUCUAUAAGCUUAGAUCGUGAGGUUUUAAUCAUUUAGUCAAGGAUAUAUAUGAAUUUCAUGUUGGAAUGGCUCAACAUAAGGAAAUUCUGUAUAUGGGUCCAUUAUUUGCGUUCUAAAAUUCGAUUAUGAUUACGGCAUCCCUUUUCAUAAUCUGAAUUAUGAGAACUUGGCAAAUUGAAAUGGAAAUAUUAUAGCAAAAGACUGGUUUAGUCUUUAUGUAAGACAUCAUGAAUCGUGUCCCAUAUGCUUCGGAUAUAGGAUCGAUUACAUGUGCUAUAUUCAUCCGUUCUAAAAUUUUCCAAAUGCCUGGGGCAUUAAGAAGGGAAAAGGUUUAGAACUGGAUAUGACUAAAAGGAUUAAACAAUUGUCGAGGACAAUCUAAGGUUUACCAAAGAUUGGUUGCUCAAGGACAGUUGGAAGUAUAGUGAUAAUUCUGGAAGGACCAUAUUGACAUAAUCUGUAAGGAGGCAACUCUUGUUCAGAAGUGAUAGUCAAAAUGGAAUCUGGAAAUGUUUCAAAGUUAGAAUUUUCAAUCUGUUUAAGAUUAGGAAACUUAAUGCAAGAAGGAUGUUUCCAAGGAGCUGAUCUCCUUUGGAAUACUCUGUAAUGAUUGUUGUCAAGUCUUUCUGACUUUGUGCAUAAUCAUUACAAGAGGAUCAAUGCAUAUAAGUUUAGAAUCUAACAGAUUUCAGUAAAUGGCAUGAAUUUGGAAUUCUUGCAUUUGCAGUAAGGAUUUGGGAGUGUGAAAAGAGAAUCAUUGAAGUUAUGUUCAAUUGAUCUAGUUCACAAAGUAAAGAUCAUAGACAAACAUAGUAUGCAUACUUGGUGUGUGGCAUGACUAGUGUUUAAGAAAACAUAGUGUACAUGCUUGGAGCAUGGGACAACUAUUGUUUUAAAUUCAAGAAUAAAGUUGAUAGCUGAAACAGUAUACAAUGAAUAAUGUGUAAUCAUAUGGUGAUAAAUAAAAGGUGUUUUAUUUAUGUUCAAAGGGUUGAUACCAUAUUGGAUUCAAUUAUUAUUGUGUUUCACUUUGCAUGUUUUGACUUCCCGAAUAAACUGGGUUAUUCUUCCGGAAUGACUAAGUUAUUCAAACCAUCCACAGUCGGUCAUAUGUUGGAAGUAGAUAUGAAUUAAGACUGUCAUGAUGGGUUGUAGAGGUCUAAGGUGUUGGACAAGGCUACAACAAUCAUGAGUGCUCAUAAGUUCUGAGUAUUGGAUUCAACCCGCGCUCAUUGGAAUCACUUCAUGGAUUUUAUCACGAGUGAUCAUGAGACGAUAAUAUCUUAUAUUCUUCAAACCUAGAGAUAUGAGUUGUUACUAUGAGUUGAUAGUACAUUGAUUGCACGAAAACGCAUUUGGUAACUCGGUGCUAUAAAACGUGCCUUUGUGUAUGAUUCAACAAGUAGUAGAACAAGCCAUAUGAGUCGAAGUUUAUCCGUUCCUUUUACCUUCGGGAUAAAAGCGAUAUCUGUGGGCCCCUCGAUGAUUUGAUGAUGACAAAUGGAAGUGCUCGGCCGGGCCAGGACUGAUUUGAUUUGUUCAAUUAGUCAGUUGUCAUAAAUCGGAAAUCGGGAAACAACAAAUGGACAGAGAGAAUGAUUAUAAUCCAUGUCUCAGUCCAUAUGAUAUCUAGAAUGGAGGAAUAUAUGAUCCCUUAUCUAAUGGACAAGUCACUGACAAAGGUCAGAGUUCAUCUACAAGGUCAGAGUUCGACAGAAGCUUUUGAGAGCUACGAUUGCCGGUUGGUUCCUGAAGUCAUACGCAAUAAUAGUUUUAGACUUAUCCAAGUGGGAGACUGUUGGAUUAAUGUCUAAGUCCAUAACUAUAUUUGGUAAGACUUGACCCGACCCGGCAUGGUCCAUUUGGGUUGCAUACCAUCAUGCACUUGAAUGAGAGAAAUAAGACACUUAUGGUUAUUAAUAUAUUAUAAGUUCUAGUAUAUUAAUGAUAAGAAUAAUAAGAUUAUUUAAUUAGUAUUGAUCAAGAAUUAAUCUAGGAUUAAUUUUGUGAUCAAAAGAAGACUAAUUAAAUAUAUGGGUUGAUUGUGUAAAUCAUCCAUACUUGUAUAGUGGGCUAAUGCUCCAUGGAUAAUCAAGUUGGGCUAAAACCCAUAGGAUGGUCCAUGGAUGCUCCAUGGUGUAUUUGUAACCAUGGAUCCAAGGAAAUGGAAAGCCAUGACAAUUAAGAGUUUACCCUAAUUGUGUAACUAUAUAAGCAUCUUAUUAUUGAGGAAAAAUCGGCCACUAGUAGUAUUCAAGAAAGGGCUAGCCGAUUUUGGUGAGUGUAGAAUUCUCUCAAGUCAUUCUAAGUGUUUUGAUGAUUGUGAUUCCAUUUGAGGUGUCACACUUGGGGCACUAAGCACUCAAGCUUCAUGAAGACUUUCUACAUCAAGAGGUAUGUAUUCUAUCUUGUUACAUUAUUGUUUUGUAUGCUAGAUUAGGAUAAUACCUUGGAAGUUCUUAUUUGCAUGUAUAAUAGAGAAAACAUAGAUCCAAGGUAUUUAGGGUUGCAUGUACACUUAGGAAGUGUUAGAAUGCUCAAAACCCAACAGUAGCACCACUUAUGUCCAACAUCUUAGACCUCUACAAGCCAACCCAUGUCAGUCUUAAUCCAUAUCUACUUCCAUAAUACGACCGACCGUGGAGAAUUUGAAUAAUAUGAAAUAAUUAUUCUGGAAGUCAAAACAUGCAAAUUGGAAUGAUAAUAAACGAUUGACAAAACAUAGCAACACUUUACUCAUAAAUAAACACAACAUAUUGACAAAAGAUAGCAACCCCAUAAAUUUUCAAACAUAAUUUUCAUUUAAAAAUCAUAUACUUUUCAUAACAUAUUGUAUAAAAAUCUCGUUUAUUCAAUUUACAAAACACAACUCCAUUAAUAAUCCAGGAUCCUCAUAACUCUUUCUCUGGUAUGUACAAUCAAGCCAGUGCCGUCCCACGAUCUUGAGAAACCUGAAACACAUAACACAUACACGGUAAGCACAAAGCUUAGUGAGUUCCCCAAAAUACCACAUACAACACAUAAGCCACUCGAGGCUAUAACUCGGUAUGAACCUCCGGUCAAUGUGUCUCAGCGAGACCCUCCAGUCCCGUAGCUCGUAGGACCCUCUAGUCCGUUCUAGCUCGUUGUACCCUCAGGUCCGAUCUAAAUCGUUGGAACCUCCGGUCCAGUCUAAUCAAGGACCCUCUGGGCUCAUGAUUCGUUGGACCCUCUACUCCGGUCUAUAUAACACACAUCAUACAUAUAACAUAGUGCACAUAAAUCUCAAACAUACACAUACAUAAUGCACAUAAAGACCUGGCUCCCGAAUCUCGAACUAGCCUCCGCCUAAUCACAAGGGAUGAAUAUUUCUAAGUGAUACUCUAAUCACAACUAUAAUCACCGAAGGCUAUUCUUCCUCUCUUUAACUCUUUGAAGUGGAUAAAAGACCAUUUUACCCCUCCAUGGUCUCUAUUACUCAUGUUGACCAAAGCCCCAAAGUCAACAAAAGUCAAACUCGAGUCAACAGUCUACGUUUGACCCGACUCGCCAAGUACACCCUUGCGACUCAUCGAGUCCACUUGUUUUCCACAGAAAUCUCAUGACAGUCUAGCUCAGCUCGUCGAGUCGACCCCCAACUCGUCCAGCUAUCGCAUGAUUCAGUUCUUCGGGACAAAGCCUAACCAACUCGUCGAGUCGGCUCAUUGACUCGGCGAGUUCAUUCAAGCCAAACAUUGAUUCACACAAUUUCAAUCAGAUCUAUCACUCCAAACACUAGAUCUAUCAUCCCAAGGCUCAAUACUCAUGUAAAGUUUCGAUUAUUACAUUCAUACAUGAGGUUAUUGCUCCAAAAUGCUAAUAUAUGGCUUUCAUGAAGGAUUUGUCUCAUCAACCCUCAUUUAAACAACUAAAGCAGGGACACCUAGACUCUCAGGACCUUUAGGAGGUCCUGAUCUAAGUUUUCUAACCUCAAACCAUGUGUCAUUCAAAUCAUAGAUUAAAAGGGUUGAAGCAAAGCCCUAAAACUCCCAAAAUGAGAUCUAGUACAAGGAAUGAGAAACAUGAGGACUUUGUACCUUCUUUUAACAGCUGAAACACUCAAUACCACAGAUCCACUGCCUUCCUUUGCUCCCCAUCAUCAAGCUCCUCAUCCUUCUUCAUAGAAAUGCACCAAGAUUGCCCAAAAUGAUCACACACUCACUUUACCAAGGUUAGAACAGUUUAAGGGUUUCUCUUAGGCUCUCAAGGGAAAGUGUGUCCGCCAAUGAAGGCCAUAGGGGCCUUUAAAUAGGUCAAAAAUCCGUACAAUUAGGGUUUCGCUACCCAGUACCUACUCGGCGAGUCCCUCCUCUGACUCGUCGAGUCCACUCAUUAAAUCCACGCGAUCAACUCGACUCGACUCGGCGAGUUGGUCCCUCAACUUUUCGAGUCCCUCCUUCAAUCUCAAGAUUAACAUACACAAUAAUGUUACUGAAAAUCUGGAUGUUACAAUUCUCCGCCACUUGAAUUAGAUUCCGCCCUUGAAAUCGCUCCACAACUACAAAUAAAUCUAAUCCAAUAACCGAACAGAACCAUCGAAAGGAUCACAUAUCACACAUAUAUCUUUCUUUCUGGACACCUAAAUCCAAACAGGAACUCCUCCCUAAAAAACGACAGACCCAUCUGCCACUACGCUACCCCUUUUGACUCUCAGGAAUCUUGAAACUCUAGUAGCUUGACACACAGCCAGACCACCCUCUCAUGAUAUCACAACGUUAUUCGCUCCUCUUAUAACAAACCUCGAUAACUCCCUGUGACUCUGAUUAUCUAGUCGGGACCGAUAAAACAAGUACAUAUCAGAUAUCAAGGAAUGAAAAGGAUCACAUCACACCAGGGACGCAUCCACUGAACAGCAAUCACAACCCUUUUGAACAGUGAACCCUUAACACCCUGACCUCAGGUACGAACAAAUCAUCAUGCUUGUUCAGAAGCGUCCCCCGAGAUCUAACAACAUAAACCUCAGCUCCUUUCUCAAUAUCCCUUUCAAGACUGAGCACCAGGUCAUCUCCUAACCCAGCAGUUGAACCUCCAAAGCCAUCCAUUGGAUUACCCAACCAUCUUAAUGGUUUUCUUCUCUCUAUCACUACAUUGACCCAUUGUGACACACAAGUGUCGAAGUCCGCCUUACCCCAAGCGAAUGCUACACUCCCAACUAAAGAUCGACUCAACCCCGACCUCUAUCGUCUACUGUUCAUAGUCCCAUGCAUCUCGCAGCACCUACCGUAUCCGAGUACUGACCUAUACAGGUCUAAAACAUCAGAUGAUAAAUGAUACCCCUCAACUUGGAACCCACCUCAAAAUCCAGAAUCUCAUCUCGCGUAACCAACACACCACCAGAACCAAACUCAUACUUGAGAGUUUGGUCUGACCCAGUGUUGGAACCACUCGAUUCAAUGGAUAACUCAACUCAUGACUCAAAACCCGCAACCCGUGCGUACAACUUCUCUAAUUCCUGAGGGUUACGACAACCACAAAUCAAAUCAUAGUAUAACGUUCUCCGAAAAAUGUGGAGACCCCAAUCUCACCCAUGGUUUGACCACCAGGCUCCCAAAGAAUCAAUUAUUAGGGCUACCCAAGCAUAAAACUCAUAUGCGCCUUGUUCUGACCAAAGAGUGCUCCUCACAACACCCUCUCACUGGCUAGUGAGUAUUACGGCUCCCCACAACAUCACAAUAACCUCUCACUGAUUAGUGAGUACUACGACUCCCCGCAGCAUCACAACAACCUCUCACUGACUAGAGAGUACCACGGCUCCCUGCACUAUCACCACACCCCUUUGCUAUCUCAUGAAUGUUGCAGCUCUCUACAACAUUACAACACUUUCUCUUACCACCCACAGUCUCAACGUCAAGUCGAUGCCACACCCUGCAUCCAUUAACCCACGUUCCACGACCCAACAUAGAUAGGUUCACACCUACCCAUCCAAAAGUAAGCGUCACUACUCCUGACGGCAAUUGACAUGAUAAACUCCUUUUUGCACUGCAAUCCUCAUUCUUAAAUAAUUAAUUAGCCAAAGUGCUCCCACUGGAACCAUAGAUACUUGCUGCACCACCUGCCAACUCUUAACUCAGAACUCAGAAUAAUCUAGGAAUAAGGACAUCAUACCCGGAUACCUUGGUACAUCACACAUAAUCUCACGAUGUUUUUGCCAAUCCACUGAUCUAAUACUCACGACCCCAUGCAUGGAUACCACAUUGCUCUUUGAGAAUCUCUCAACUGAUCUCCUUCUCGCACCACUUAUAACCUCAGAGUAUUCCAUUUGAAACACCGAGGCAUCAUCAAUGGCUCAGAAUAAGAUGUCGAAAACCCGAAACCCCCUACUGAUCAUUACUCACUCGGAACUACUCUUAUCGACCCUGAAAUUGGUUGCUGGAUCAACGGCUGCCCUUUCGGGGGUAUAUAUUACAAUCUAUACACUCACUUGCAAAUCUCAGCUAUUGCAUCCACAAUCCAGUGACCCGAUCACACUCAAACUCGACAUAUGCUAACCCCGAAAAGCGCAGGCAACAAAAAUCUUCCAAUUCACUCAUCCUUCCUCAAAUACAUACCACAUGCAUUAUCUCGCUCAACACCUAGUCUCGAUCACCAAUAACCCUAGACUCAUGAAUCUGCACCGCAGGUCUCUAUAUCCAGAUCUUUAACCAUUCUCAAACAAAUCUCUGAUCCUCUCAAUAAAAUACUCGGUUCUCCCCCACUUAGGGUUCGAACCUUCACCAAUUGGCGCACCAACAAUCUAUCCCACGGACUGUUUCCAAUAGUAACAUCGCGCCUACUCUUGGAAGGUGCUACGCAACGCUUUUUGACCUCCCCGACAGAGAUCAAACAACUCCCAAUACCCCGAAUCUUAGAUGAAUUCCUCAGAACUUCCCAUCAUGAAUGCAUCUGGUCAUUCCGAAUCUCACACCAUUCUCUCAACGGACCUCCCAACUGUCCAAUAAAAAACCCUGAAUCUUAGUCUGGAAAUAAUGAACUAUCUUUCUACUCAUCCUCGAUUCCUCAACGAAUGCUCCAUCACGUCUCUUAUGAUAAGAGCAGAACCCACAUUACCACUCUCGAUACCCAUCAAAGACAAUAAGAGACAAUACCCUGAUAUACUCCUCUUGAUCAUCUGACGAUGCAGCUAACACAUGCCCUACUAUACUCAAAUAGGGUGUAUCCUGGUCCUUGACCAUCUCAGUCCCCACUAACAACCUCCUCAUGCUCUAUCAUUACCCCUCGGCAGACAUACUGCCCAAUUUUCUGAUGGAAGGUCGCAAUCAAUGCUAACCCGCAGACUUUUACCCCCAAACUUGGAAACCGAUAUCUCAACACCUCUUAUGUUCCCUACAAGAAAUGGAAAUAACACCACUCAGGCCACAGAAGGUGACAUCUCCACUAUCGGAUGAUUGCUCAACUCAUUCUACAAUCCUCCAUAAACGUCAUCUCUACUCAUCGUUAAGUCUUGCAACUUAAUCUGACAUCUCACCAAAAAUAUCUUGGAGUCAUCUCGAUUUCCCACACAAGGGAUGCUUCGCUAGAACUUGUUCCACAUGGCCCUCUGACCUCAUACUUUAUCGUAUCCGAUCUCGGUCCAACUAAUCACAACGGAAUAACUGGUAGAACCAGUAACACUAAGCGCCACGGGUCAUGGUACUCGAACCAUGUGGUCAUCUCUCAAUCUUCUAUAAACCAUAGUACUCGAACCAUGUUAUCUCCUCUUAAUCUGCUACAAAUCAUGGUUCUCGAACCAUUACAUCAUCCCUCAAUUUGCUACCAAUCAUGGUACACGAACCUUGACAACACCUCUCAAUCUGCUACCAAUCAUGGUACUCGAACAAUGACCUCAUCUCUCAAUCUUCUACCAAUCAUGGUACUCGAACCAUGACAUCACCCUCUUAAUCUGCUACCAAUCAUGGUACUCGAACCAUGAGAUCACCUCUCAGUCUGCUACCAAUGAUGGUACUCGAACCAUGACAUCACCUCUCAAUCUGCUACCUAGAAUUUCCGAAAUAUUCCCUGCAUCAAGUAUGGGUCCUCUGCUUUUAGUAGUACGGGCCCACACUACCUAACACAUCUACCCAUACCUUCCACACGGACCAUCCUAGAUUUCAUAAGUAGCUGCUCAACCUUCUCGCUCAUCCAUCUCGUUACUCGUGUUCGCUCCCCAGCGAAAUACUCUACCCUGUCAGCGCACUCAUCUGACAGUGGUCACCCUCUAGGCUCUUCCUAGGUGCUCACACUUCUCUGCCAUCAGCUAUUGAAGAAGCCCUAACGACGCCAGCCAUCUACCUCCUGAAUAUCAUCAUCUCCACUUAGUAGCUGACUCCCCUCAUCGAGAGUUCCACAAAGCACGAAGAAAGAAGCAUUCGGGCAUUGAAUAAUCUCCACUAGCACGUAAAACCCCUCUAGGGUAUUAUCCUACUCACUCUCCGCAUACUCGUAGGAUACCACCGAAGUCAAGCGACUUCACCCCCACGUGGGCAUCUGACUAUCCUGUUAGUAGACUACACAAAUGCUCAUCUAGGUAUCUCUCCUAGAUUACUCCACUACACAAAUCCCUCUCUAAAAGGAUUCCUGUUGGAUACUCUUAUUCAACACAUACUCGAAAACACAUCGCUGAUAACAACUCCUAGGCUAAGGAAUCACAAAUCAGGCCACUCUAGUCCUAAAAUAUGAAAUACCUAGUCUAUCUCUAGCAUGCAUAAUACCUCAUAAAUAUCUCAUAACACAAAAGUAAAGGUAUUUUGGGAAAUCACCAUUCGGGCUCUGGCUGAUUGUACACACUACUCUUUCUCGUUUUCCCUUAGAAACUCUCGUUCGCUUUAGCAAAAUCAUUUCUUUGAAAAUUCUUCUCAAAUCCCUAGUUUGAGUCCGGAUUUACCCGAAGGUGAAUCCGAAUCCCUCAAACCAAGGUUCUGAUACCAACUUGUAACACCGUAAAUUUUUAUACAAAAUUUUCAUUUAAAAAUUGUAUACUUUUCAUAACAUAUUGUAUAAAAAACUCGUUUAUUCAAUUUACAAAACACAACUCCAUUAAUAAUACCGGAUCCUCAUGACUCUUUCUCUGGUAUGUACAAUCAAGACGGUGUCGUCCCGCGAUCCUGAGAAACCUGAAAUACGUAACACAUACACGGUAAGCACAAAGCUUUGUGAGUUCUCAAUAAUACUACACACAAUACGUAAGCCACUCGAGGCUAUAACUCAGUAUGACCCUCCAGUCAAUGUGUCUCAGUGGGACACUCCAGUCCUGCAGCUCGUUGGACCCUCCAGUCCGGUCUAGCUCGUUGGAGCCUCUGGUCUGGUCUAAAUCAUUGGACCCUCCGGCCCAGUCUGAUCGAGGACCCUAUGGCCUCAUGAGUCGUUGGACCCUCUAGUACGGUCUAUAUAACACAUAGCAUACAUAUAACACAACGCACAUAAAUCUCAAACAUACACAUACACAUAAGACCCUCCGGUCUGCACAUAGAUACCACUCUCGGUAAUUUAUAGUGAGAAGACUCACCUGACAAGCAGCAUGUAAAGACCUCGCUCCCGAAUCUCGAACUAGCCUCUGUCUAAUCAUAAGGGAUGAAUAUUUCUAAGUGAUACACUAACGACAACUAUAAUGACCGAAGGCUAUUAUUCCUCUCUUUAACUCUUUGAAGUGGAUAAAAGACCAUUUUACCCCUCCAUGGUCUCUACUACUCAUGUUGACCAAACCCCAAAGUCGACAAAAGUUAAACUCGAGUCAACAGUCCUGUUUGACCCGACUCGCCGAGUGCAUCCUUGCGACUCAUCGAGUCCAGUUAUUUUCCUCAAAAAUCUCGUGACAGUCUAGCUCAGCUCGUCGAGUUGACCCCCAACUCGUCGAGCUAUCGCAUUAUUCAGUUCAUCGGGAGAAACCCUAACCAACUGGUAAAGUCGGCUCAUUUACUCGGCGAGUUCAUUCAGACCAAAUGUUCAUUCAGACGAUUUCAAUCAGAUCUAUCACUCCAAACAGUAGAUCUAUCAUCCCAAGGAUCAAUAAUCAUGUAAAGCUUCGAUCUUUACGUUCAUACAUGAGGUUAUUGCUUCAAAAUGCUAAUAUAUGCCUUUCAUGAAGGAUUUAGCUCAUCAACCCUCAUUUGAACUAAAGCAGGGACACCUAGACUCUAAGGACCUUUAGGAAGUCCCGUUCAAAUUGUAGAUUAAAAGGAUGGAAGUAAUGCCCUAAAACUCCUAAAAUGAGAUCUAGUAAAAGGAAGGAGCAAGAUGAGGACUUUGUACCUUCUUUUAAUAGCUGAAACACCCAAUACCAUAGAUCCACUGCCUUCCUUUGCUCCCCAUCAUGAAGCUCUUCAUCCUUUCUUCAUAGAAAUGCACCAAGAUUUCCUAAAAUGAUCACAAACUCACUUUACCAAGGCUAUAAUGGUUUAAGGGUUUCUCGCAGGCUCUCAAGGGAAAAUGUGGCCACCAAUGAAGGCGAGUCUCUCCUCUGACUUUGAAUAGGUCACAAACCCGGACAACUAGGGUUUCUCUACCCAGUACCUACUCGGCGAGUCCCUCCUCUGACUUUGUCGAGUCCAUUCAUUAAAUCCACACGAUCAACUCGACUUGAAUCGACGAGUUGGUCCCUCAACUCGUCGAGUCCCUCCUUCAAUCUCAAGAUUAACAUACACAACAAUCUUCCUGAAAAUCUGGAUGUUACAAAACUUUUCCAAGAAAUUGAUCCUCCAUUUAAGCUAAAGACUCAGCCUGACUGAGAGCGGAAAUUAUCCCUAUCAGUCUGAAAGCUAGCAUCACUGUACCCCAAUACUCUCAAGUCAUCACUCCCAACGAGGAUAAGGACCCAGUCCUUAGUCCUCCACAGGUACUUGAGAAUGUUCUUCACCACAGUCCAGUGAGCCUUGCCAGGGUUCCCCUGAUAUCUGCUGACCACGCUCAAUGCAAAGGCCACAUCAAGACGAGUACAAUUCAUAGCAUACAUGAUCGAGCCUACAGAGGAAGCAUACGGUACUCGACUCAUUUUUGGUAUCUCAGCCUCUAUACUCGGACUCUGAGUUUUACUCAGUUCAGAGUUACUCUGGAUAGGUAUCUCUCCUUUCUUGGAAUUUUGCAUGCUGAAUCUAUUCAGCACCUUCUCCAAGUAGGUAGUUUGACUAAGUCUAAUUAGUCUUUUACUCCUGUCUCUCAGAAUCGUUAUCCCUAGGAUAUAGGCAGCUUCUCUAAGGACCUUCAUAGUGAAACACUUCCCAAGCCAGGACAUAACUUCUUGUAGAGUUGGGAUGUCAUUUCCUAUGAGUAGUAUGCCAUCCACAUACAAUACCAGAAAGCUGACUAUACUCCCACUAGCCUUGACAUAUACACAAGAUUCAUCUUCACUCCUCGAAAAUCCAAACUCUUUGACUUUCUCAUCGAAGAAAAGAUUCCAUUUGCGAGGUGCUUUCUUUAAUCCAUAGAUGGAUUUCUCAAGAUUACACACUCUAUUAGGGUACUCUAUACUGACAAAUCCCUCUAGCUGACUCAUGUAAACAUCCUCAACCAACUUCCCAUUAAGGAAAGCGGUUUUGACAUCCAUUUGCCAUAUUUCAUAUUCAUGAAAUACAGCAAUGGCUAUCAUAAUCCUAAUAUACUUAAUCUUCGCUACUGGUGAAAAGGUCUCAUCAUAAUCAUCUCCCAGAGUUUGAGAAAAGCACUUUGCAACCAAUCGUGCCUUAUAAGUGUGUACAUUACCAUCCAUAUCGGUCUACUUCUUCAAGAUCCAUUUGCACCCGACUGUCUUGUGACCUGGUACAUUUUCAACCAAGUUCCAAACUUGAUUGGCAUACAUGGAUUGUAUCCCACUAUCCAAAGCCAUUUUCCAUUUAGCAGCCUUAGGGACUACCAUGGCUUCCGUGUAGCUGUUAGGUUCAUCCAAACUUACCAGUAUGCUAUUACUUAUAAGUCUAUCACCUUCCAAAGUGAUAUCGAAACCAUAGUAAUGCUUAGGUGCAUUCCUAACUCUCGUUGAAAGCCUGAGGUAGAGAUUCUUUUGACGGACCAACAAGAGUUUCAUCCUUAGUUUGAUUGCUAGGGUUUGAGGUUCCUUCACCACUUGAAUCUUGAAUUUCUUCAAGGUCAAUUUUCCUCCCAUUGUUUCCUUGGCUCAUGAAUUCUCUCUCGUGAAAGACUCCUCUCCUUGCUACAAAGACCACGUUAUCACUAGGUCUGUAGAAGAGGUAACCAAAGGAUCUCUAUGGGUAGUCGAUGAAAAUACACCUCUCACUUUGAGGUUUGAGCUUAUCGUGAGACUCGCGCCUCACAAAAGCCUCGCAACCCAAAAUCUUGAUGUGGUCCAGAUUGGGAACUUUUCCAGUCCACAUGUCAUGAGGUGUUUUGGCAAGCUUCUUUGUAGGGACUAGAUUAACAAUAUGGGCGGCAAUCUCUAAGGCAUACCCUCAAAAUGAGAUUGGUAGCAAAGCUUGACUCAUCACGGAACGAACCAUAUCCAAAAAGGUUCGAUUGUGCCUCUCAGCUACACCAUUAAGCUGUGGUGUCCUGGGAGGUGUCAAUUGUGAGAUAAUCCCACAUUCAUUAUUAUAGUCAAGAAACUAUGUACUAAGAUACUCACCACCUCGAUCGGAUCGAAGCAUCUUAAUGUUCCUGCCCAACUGAUUUUCCUCUUCUUGCUUGAACUCUUUGAAUCUUUCAAAGGUCUCUGACUUAUGCUUGAUUAAGUAGACAUAUUCAUAUCUACUAAAAUCAUCAUUAAAAGUCACAUAGAAGCGGUUAGCAUCUCUUGUGGCGGUUCUGAAGGGUCCACACACAUCAGUGUGUAUGAGGUCCCAUAAACCCUCACGCCUAGCACAAGUGCAAGUGAAGGGUGAGUUUAUCGUUUUCCCUAGCAUACAAGAUUCACAACUAUCAUCUAACUUUAGGUCAAAUGACUCCAAGACUCCAUCCUUUCGGAUUUGGCCUAUGCCUUUCUUGCUUACAUGUCCAAGACAACAAUGCCAUAAAGAUGCUUUAUCCAAGCUAGUGGAAGAAUCGAUACACAAUACAUUAUUUCCUAGGUUAUCAACAACUGACACAGUUUCAUAUACACCAUCACAAGGUAAUGCUUUAAAAUAAAUGACAUUAGUAAAGAAAGAAUUAAUUCCACCGCUAUCAUUAUCAAAUGACUAGGUAAAACCUUGUUUGUACAAACCAUCAAAAGAAAUAAGAUUUCUUUCCAUUUCAGACUAGUAAUAACAUUUAUUCAACACUAAUACUAAUCCACUACUUAGCAAUAAAGAAUAAACUCCAAUCUUGGUGACAGGUGAAACUUUCCUAUUCCCCAUGAUCAAGUUUAUCUUCUUAUGCUCCACAUUUUCACUUCUUCUUAGUCCCUGCAAAUCAGUACAUAUGUGAAUACCACAACCUGUAUCAAGAACCUAAGAAUUAUAAUGGGGUGAAUUAAUAGACAGAAUAGUGUAUGUACCUGUGUUGUUGGGUUUAACUUUCCCAUCCUUCACAUAUUGCUGGUACUUUGGGCAGUUUUGCUUCCAGUGUGACUUUUCAUGACAAUAGAAGCAUUCAGCUUCUUUUGGGUUAGUAGAAGGAGUGACGAAACCUUUCUUGGUUCCACUUGAAGAGGAGCUAUCAAGGGUCUUACCCUUGGUACCCUUCGAAAGGUUCUUCCUCUUCCUUCCUUUGCCUUGCCCGAUUCCCAAGACAGGGGCUGCAGUAGGAUUAGGAGUAGUAACAACCACCUUACCUUUAAGACCGCUUUCCGUGGUCCUCAAAAGUCCUUGAAGUUUGAUGAGUGUAACUUCCUCCUUUUUCAUGUGGUAUAUCAUGCGGAUUUGAUUAUAACGUGAAGGUAAGGAGUGCAAAAUGAUUUUUAUUUCUAACUCCUCAGGGAAGUUCACAUUUAGCUUCAGCAAACGGCCCACAUACCUUUGCAUUUUCUGCAUGUGGCCCGUGAUGGGUUCACCAUACUUCGUUCAACUUGUUAUCAUGGAGCAGAUUAUUUCAUAUCACUCUUGACGAGCACUCUAAUGGUAGCAAUCCAUCAAAUCCUGGUGAAUCUCAAAAGGAUAGUAGUCCUCAUAGGACUUUUGGAGCUCGACUAUCAUAUUGGCCAACAUGAUACAUGCCACUUUGGUAGCAUCUCUUUCAUGUGCCUCGUAUUCAAUGAUCUCCUCAGGAUAAGCAGACGACUUGGGUACCUUAAGCUCCUUGUCGAGGACAUAUUCCUUGUCCUCGUAGCGAGUGACCAUCCUGAUGUUCCUGAUCCAAUCCAUAAAGUUGGAUCCAUCAAGGAUGACUCUCCCAUAAAGGUUCAUGAGAGAGAAGGAGUCGGUAGGGUUUGAGCCAGAAGCAGCAUUUGUUGGUUGACAUUUGAAAAAGUAGAACAAGUUUAGAUUAGAUAUAAUGAUAGUACUUAAUAAAACACCCAAAUGUAAUAUUAAGGCUAGGACCCAACACAAUAUUUUCUAACUUAGUAGAGGGAUGCCGUAAUCCAAGAUAUAAAAUAUUUGAAGGUAGGUGAAUGACGAUUCACCAAUUUCCACCAUGAAAAAUGAAAUAAAUUAUUAGGUUUUAAUUGGUUUUGAAACUCCUAGAUUCUCUGAGAUUCAUUCAACUUUUCAAUG
rnacentral:lncRNA from 1 species